rnacentral:rRNA from 1 species
GCAGGCUUAACACAUGCAAGUCGAGCGGAUGAAAGUAGCUUGCUACUGGAUUCAGCGGCGGACGGGUGAGUAAUGCUUAGGAAUCUGCCUAUUAGUGGGGGACAACGUUCCGAAAGGAGCGCUAAUACCGCAUACGUCCUACGGGAGAAAGCAGGGGACCUUCGGGCCUUGCGCUAAUAGAUGAGCCUAAGUCGGAUUAGCUAGUUGGUAGGGUAAAGGCCUACCAAGGCGACGAUCUGUAGCGGGUCUGAGAGGAUGAUCCGCCACACUGGGACUGAGACACGGCCCAGACUCCUACGGGAGGCAGCAGUGGGGAAUAUUGGACAAUGGGGGGAACCCUGAUCCAGCCAUGCCGUCGUGUGUGAAGAAGGCCUUUUGGUUGUAAAGCACUUUAAGCGAGGAGGAGGCUACCUAGAUUAAUACUUUAGGAUAGUGGACGUUACUCGCAGAAUAAGCACCGGCUAACUCUGUGCCACCAGCCGCGGUAAUACAGAGGGUGCGAGCGUUAAUCGGAUUUACUGGGCGUAAAGCGUGCGUAGGCGGCCAAUUAAGUCAAAUGUGAAAUCCCCGAGCUUAACAUGGAAAUUGCAUUCGAUACUGGUUGGCUAGAGUAUGGGGAGGAAGGUAGAAUUCCAGGUGUAACGGUGAAAUGCGUAGAGAUCUGGAGGAAUACCGAUGG